GAUGAACGCUAGCGGGAGGCUUAACACAUGCAAGCCGAGGGGUAUAGUUCUUUCGGGAACUCGAGACCGGCGCACGGGUGCGUAACGCGUAUGCAACUUGCCCUACUGAAAAGGAUAGCCCUUCGAAAGGAGGAUUAAUACUUUAUAACAGAUUUAAUGGCAUCCUUAGAUUUUGAAAGAUUUAUCGCAGUAGGAUAGGCAUGCGUAAGAUUAGUUAGUUGGUGAGGUAACGGCUCACCAAGACGAUGAUCUUUAGGGGGCCUGAGAGGGUGAACCCCCACACUGGUACUGAGACACGGACCAGACUCCUACGGGAGGCAGCAGUGAGGAAUAUUGGACAAUGGGUGGAAGCCUGAUCCAGCCAUCCCGCGUGUAGGAUGACGGCCUUAGGGGUUGUAAACUACUUUUAUCUGGGGAUAAACCUACUUACGUGGAAGUAGCUGAAGGUACCAGAAGAAUAAGCACCGGCUAACUCCGUG
rnacentral:rRNA from 1 species